rnacentral:rRNA from 1 species
AUUGAACGCUGGCGGCAGGCCUAACACAUGCAAGUMGAACGGUAACAGGAAGCAGSUUGYUGCUUKGSWUACGAGUGGCGGACGGGKGAGUAAUGUSUGGGAAACUGCMUGAUGGAGGGGGAUAACUACUGGAAACGGUAGCUAAUACCGCAUAACGUCGCAAGACCAAAGAGGGGGACCUUCGGGCCUCUUGCCAUCGGAUGUGCCCAGAUGGGAUUAGSUAGUAGGUGGGGUAACGGCUCACSUAGGCGACGAUCCCUAGCUGGUYUGAGAGGAUGACCAGCCACACUGGAACUGAGACACGGUCCAGACUCCUACGGGAGGCAGCRGUGGGGAAUAUUGCACAAUGGGCGCAAGCCUGAUGCAGCCAUGYCGCGUGUAWGAAGAAGSCCUUCGGGUYGUAAAGUACUUUUAGCGGGGAGGAAGGGAGUAAAGUUAAUACCUAUGYUCAUGACGUACCSG